GUGUUCGUAGAAAAGAGAGAUGGUUGGCAUCUCCCUCGACAAGGACGAGAACAGCCUUCGAGCUUAAACAAUAAUUAACAUAUUCAAUUGAUAGUUCUUAAUUAUAUACUUCCUCUGUCCACGAAAAAUAGUCUCAUUUU